UACGUAGGAGGCGAGCGUUGUCCGGAAUUACUGGGCGUAAAGCGUGCGCAGGCGGUUUUGUAAGUCUGUCGUGAGAUCCCCGGGCUUAACCUGGGAAUGGCGAUGGAGACUGCAAGGCUAGAGUUUGGCAGAGGGGGGUAGAAUUCCACGUGUAGCAGUGAAAUGCGUAGAGAUGUGGAGGAACACCGAUGGCGAAGGCAGCCCCCUGGGUCAAAACUGACGCUCAUGCACGAAAGCGUGGGGAGCAAACAGG
rnacentral:rRNA from 1 species